rnacentral:tRNA from 1 species
UGUUCUGCGGUUUGGUGGUUGAAGCGCCGGUCUAGCGAAUACGGAGUCGUGGGUUCGAAUCCCACCAGAACUC